CUCAUUACGUUUAAACAUAGGUUAGUGUCUCUCCAUUUGGAUUGUUUGUCUAAUUGGUAUGUUUUUUGUUACUGAUGUAAUAUUUCUUAAAUUGAGGAAUGAUUUAAAAGUAAACACAUUUUCUUUUUGAAGUUUGAUUUUAGUUAAUGCAAGUGCCUAAUCGAUGAAAGUUUGUCUAGUAAAAAUUUCUUAUUGUUAACUGGUAUUUAAAAAUGCUGUUGUCUUAACAUAGUAUAUACACUCUGCUUAUUAUAGAUACGUUGUAGAAUUUCCAUUAUUAAGGAUAUAUAUGUCACGAGUAAGUUAUAAGAUCAAUAAAGGCAUUGUACUAUAUAAUGUUUUUAAGUAAGGUUUUAUUCAUAUUUCGAAGCAUAAGAUAACUUUAACAUAAAAUGUCUUCAAUCUGCGCGCGCGCACACACACACACACACACACACGCACACACACACACACACACACACACACACACACACACACACAAACACGCACACGCACACACACACGCACACACAUACACUAAUUAUAUACCUUUGAUAUGGAAAGAUGGUGGAUUAUCUCAAUCAAUAUUGAUAUGAUUUCUAAUUGUCCAAUGUAAUCAUCUAAAUGUUAACAAUCUAAACACUUCCUCAUAUGGCUUGCAUGCAUUUACGUACUUUUAGAUAAUAAAGACCAAUUAUGGUGUCUAUGUUAAUUAUGAGUAGAAGUAUUUGUUUUGAUUUAUUUUAUCUUAUCAGAAAUGAUAUUAUAUUAUUGGUAAUCAAACUUUGAAUACAGUUAUUUCGUAUAUUGGACUUUAUCAAGUAAAUCUUUGUAAACGAAAAAUACAUAUGCUUCAUCAAAUGUUACAUAAAAUGAUCAACCAACGACUCCAGUGAAUACGUUUUUAUGAAAUUCACUAAAUGCUACAUAAAUGGCUUUCAAUAUAUUUAUAUAAUAACAAGGACGGAUAUUGCACAUAAAUGAAGGUAAGCUCAUGUAUGUUCAACUGUAUUUUGUGAUUGACAGAAAACAUUACCCAGACAGGAUGAUAUUGAGUAUAUUUGCUCUACUUUUCCUAGCGAGAUGUACGGCAGGUAUGUAUUUGUAUCAUAUCGAUCACCUAAUUGUGACAUGAAUAAUUUCUUCUUAUCAAAUAUUAAAUAUAAAAAGAACGCAGUUGUUACAGAAUAUUCUCGAAUUUGAUGCAAUUCCUUUUAGUUAUGGUGAUAAUAAAAGAGAAGGAGGUAAACUUUAAUGGACAUUGUGCUUGCUGUGAAGGAGGGGAGUCUGGAUGUGGAUUAUAUGAUAAAAACAUGGAUUAUUGUUUAAAUGGCUGUGUUAACACACUAAAACAGGAUUUGCUGGUUCCUUGUGCAUUGAAUGUGUAGCAGGAUAUUACGAAGCAAACUGCAACGUCAGUUGUCCUAGCGGAUGCAAGGAGGGAACUUGUAUGAGAAACGGAUCAUGCAUUGAAUGCAUAACUGGUUAUUCUGGCGAACAAUGCAACGAUAUGUGUUCUACGGGUUGCAGCGAUGGAUAUUGUUAUAGAAAUUGAACUUGUCACCGUACGGAUCGUUUUACAGGUACCUUUUGUGACAAAUGUGUUGUAGGAAAAAAUGGCGACAAUUGUGAACAUGAAUGCAGUGUUGGUUGUUCUACAAUGUCCUGUGGCAAAGAAGACGGAUCAUGCUAUAAUGGAUGUGACGAUGGAUUACAUGGCAUACAUUGUUUUCAGAAGUGUACCAAUAUCGACGAUAGGUGUUUAAAAUGUAGACAGCAAGAUGGGACGUGUUUAAUGUGUAACACAGGAUUUUACCCGAAUGAAUAUAGUAGUUGCACUACUUGCAGUACUAACUGUAUUUAUGGACAGUGUUAUCCUGAAACCGGCAAAUGUAUAAAUGGUUGUGCAGUCAGCUUUUGGGGAGACAAGUGUGACGUCAAUUGUAGUUCUAAGUGUGAAACAUGUAAGCAAGAUUCAGGAAUAUGUGAUUCAUGUACAAAUCUUACUACACAUGGUUUGUAUUGCAAUGAAUCAUGCAAGUCAUCAUGCUAUCGAAGAAAGUGCGAACAAAGUACUGGUCAUUGUUCCCUUGGAUGCAAUGGAGAUUUCUUUGGCAAUAUGUGUGAAACCAAUUGCCCUGAGAAUUGUCAGCAAACAGAAACAAAAUCAAGUUGUAAUACUGAUGGCGACUGUUUGUAUGGCUGCAUUAAUGAUCUUGAAGGCAGAUUUUGUACAGGUACGUUCCAUCUACAUGUGCACAUUUUUACGGCUGAAGAUAUCAAUUAAAUAAUCAUAUAGCUAAAUUUAUAAAGGGUAAAAUAAUCCGCUUAAAAUGAUGACGAAGAUAAGAAGUUAUGCAUGCAGUUUAUCUCGGUAAUGUCUGAGUACUCUGCUUCAACACUAUUUCAACUAGUUUUAUGUUCAAUAAUUAUGCAUCCGGUGCACUUUCCUUGGCUUUUGCAACAAACUUAAAAUCAUUUAAAAAAGGAUCUGGGUAUGUAUUUUUAACAGGCAAAAACAAACAAAGGUUUUCUCGCCUAAAAUUCCGCAGAUAAUGACACUUUGAGUGUGUCGUACUCUGUAACAAAUAUAACAAAUGCUUGAUGGCGGGGAAACGUCUCGGUCUGUAAAGAAUUGUCUUAAUGGGUAUGAUGCAGAUAUAAGGUUUCGGGUACGGGUAAAUACCAAUAGGGCCUGUUCCCCUACUCCCAUGUGUUAUUGAAAGAACGUCUAUACUAUUUGUUUUAUUAUGUGUUUCUUAAUUAGGUUGCUGAGGCUGCUAUUUGAAAAUUUGAUACAUAUGAAUCAAUCUCUGAGUCUUUAGAAGUAACAUUAUAUACUCAUAAGUAUAUUGUACUCUGCAAACAUUCUGUCUUAACAAAAUUACUACAAGAUUUAUUUGAGGUGUUAGUAUUCGUUGUUUUUACAGGAAACAUAUUACUUAUGACAUUAUAGUCCCAUCGUAGGUGAUUUAUACACUUUUUUUAUAACUGAGCUUUUCAAUUCACUUGUUAAUAAAUUUUCUUUAUUACAUAAUUUACAAAUGUUGCUAAGCAAAUUAAAGAGUAAAGGAAUUCUUCAAAUAUAUUCCCCGAGGAAUAGCUAGAGUGAUUAAUACUUUUCCUUACGUUACAUUAUAAUGUUAUUUGUUCAUGGGUUGUGACAAAUGAAUUAAUCCGACAAGUGAUGUUCUUAUAAAUAUUCGGUAUUACUUUUAACAUGUAAUCGAGUAUAAACCCUAUCUUUUAUUGUAUUGUUCUACAGGUUAAUGCAAACAAUGCUAUUUCAGAAAUACGAAUUGACACUGCUUCUUCCACAAAUAUUGCACUCGCAGCUUUAUCGGGAGUUUUGGGCAUUAUGCAUGUUUCUUCAGUCGCUGGUUGCUACCUGUGGGACAUACGAAUGUCUGAGUCAAUAGAACAAAACUCAGAAAUACAGUUAGAUCAAUGUGAAACCAAAAGGGCAUAUGAACAGCCACACAGACAGUCCAACGAAUCAACAUACAGAAAUUUUGACGACAACAAUACUGUGCUUUAAUUGUAAAAAUUCAAAACACUCUUCAUUUUAUACUGAAACUGGGACAUGACAAGCUUCAAUGUUAUAUAUUUUGCAUGAAGUCCCUGGAUUCGUUUCUGUGUGCGGGAAAGGUCCCUUUAUCUUACUGCUGAUAUUGUUGGAGGAAUGGCUCAUGUGCAAGAAAAAUGAAGAUGAUUGUGUCGCAUAAAGGACAUCCAAAUUUUGAGGGAUCAACAUAAGCAACAUUUCAGCAUUUAACAAACACAUUUUCUGUACAGAUGAGGUUGAUUUAAUAUUUUUCUUCUUCAUAGAACAUUGCGAUAACAAAUAAUUCAUAUUCAGAGAAAUACACUUUUUAUAUUUUUUUAUAUAUAUUAUUUGCCCCUUAAAUUUAACAAUUGUGCCAAAUGUUAUGUAAUACCUUAUUAUGUGAGAUAUAUGCUAAAAUAAUGGUUAUGUUUAUAUGAUAAAUGGAAAUGAUGAUAUGAAAUAAGUACACAUUUCAUAUUUGACUCUUUUUUCUCUGAAGGUGUUAUUGAGAGCAGCGCAAAAUUAAUUUGGCUAUCUUGAUUUCGAGCUGUCUGACAAGUUAUCCAGAACAAAAAUGUAUUUAUUCAUGCAGCUAUGUCAGUCUUAUUGUUGUCAUUUGUGGAUAUUGUUUGUUACGUUUACAAACCUCGUCGAGGUUAGCAUGAGGGAGCUAUGUUAGUCUUAUGUGCUGCCAUGUAUAGAUCUUGUUUGUUCUUUGCUUUUAUCCAGAACAAAAAUGUAUUCAUGCAUACAGCUCUAGACACAGUAAAUUGUACAUUGUUUUCGUCUUCCUUUUUCGUUGUGUAGCAUGUGUUCUAGCUAAAUUAUAUAUAAUUCUGUAUAUUGUUGUUAUUAUGUUAAUGUUAUCAUAUUCAUUGAAUUUGCAUCCUUCAAAUGUAUCAAAAUAACAUAAAGAAUGUGUUUAAUUAACUAUUUGAAUACGACAAAUUGGGGUUGGGUUGAUGUAUGAAUGUUCCUGGAUAAGAUGCUGUACAUGUUCAAUUUAAAUAACAUACAUAUGACAAAACAAAUUGAUAAAUUAGUUUGUGUUUGCAUGUUUGAAUACUGACUUAUAUUUUUUGUAUUCAAAGCGUUGAAAUUCAUAGGUAC